GAUGAACGCUGGCGGUAUGCUUAACACAUGCAAGUCGAACGGACUCUUCGGAGUUAGUGGCGGACGGGUGAGUAACGCGUGAGAAUCUGGCUUUGGGUUCGGGACAACCACUGGAAACGGUGGCUAAUACCGGAUGUGCCGAGAGGUAAAAGAGAAAUUGCCUGAAGAUGAGCUCGCGUCUGAUUAGCUAGUUGGUGAGGUAAAGGCUCACCAAGGCAGCGAUCAGUAGCUGGUCUGAGAGGAUGACCAGCCACACUGGGACUGAGACACGGCCCAGACGCCUACGGGAGGCAGCAGUGGGGAAUUUUCCGCAAUGGGCGAAAGCCUGACGGAGCAAUAACGCGUGAGGGAAGAAGGCUCUUGGGUUGUAAACCUCUUUUCUUAGGGAAGAACAAAAUGACGGUACCUAAGGAAUCAGCAUCGGCUAACUCCGUG
rnacentral:rRNA from 1 species